rnacentral:misc_RNA from 1 species
CAUGGCGUGCAAUUUGCGCGCGGACACGCCUGGGCUUCGGCCUAGGGGUGCUCUCGUCCUUGCUUGUUUGUACCUUUUGUUGCUUCCUCGGCGGGAGCUUUCCCGCCGCUAGGAACCCCAAAAACACCUUGCAAUCAGCAAUCUAUUCUGAUAAAAUACCUAAAUCGUUA